CCACAACACGUUGAAACACAGGUUCCCGUACAAUCACCGAAGUUUAGCAACCUCGAGCCUAGUCAGUACUUAGAUGGGUGACCGCUUGGGAAUACCAGACACUGUAA